rnacentral:tRNA from 1 species
UGAAAUUCUACUUAAAUUACUCCUUG